rfam:Danio rerio chromosome 21, GRCz11 reference primary assembly.
GGGGAUGUAGCUCAGUGGUAGAGCGCAUGCUUUGCAUGGAUGAGGUCCUGGGUUCAAUCCUCAGCAUCUCCA